CCUACGGGUGGCAGCAGUGGGGAAUAUUGGACAAUGGGGGGAACCCUGAUCCAGCCAUGCCGCGUGUGUGAAGAAGGCCCUCGGGUUGUACAGCACUUUCAGUGAGGAAGAACGCCUGGUGGUUAAUACCCAUCAGGAAAGACAUCACUCACAGAAGAAGCACCGGCUAACUCCGUGCCAGCAGCCGCGGUAAUACGGAGGGUGCGAGCGUUAAUCGGAAUUACUGGGCGUAAAGCGCGCGUAGGUGGCUUGAUAAGCCGGUUGUGAAAGCCCCGGGCUCAACCUGGGAACGGCAUCCGGAACUGUCAAGCUAGAGUGCAGGAGAGGAAGGUAGAAUUCCCGGUGUAGCGGUGAAAUGCGUAGAGAUCGGGAGGAAUACCAGUGGCGAAGGCGGCCUUCUGGACUGACACUGACACUGAGGUGCGAAAGCGUGGGUAGCAAACCGGAUUAGAUACCCUUGUAGUC
rnacentral:rRNA from 1 species